UUGUGUGUUUGCCGUUUGGCUGGUAACCAAUUAACCAUGCUGGUAACAGAUACAAUGUUCGUGAAACUGUUAUGUAAGUUUUGCUUCCAAAUGUGAAUGUUAUCGGACAUCCAGAAUAUGUGGUUUUAUAAAGUAGGAGCCAUGUAUGGCUGAAAAGAACAAAUAUGAGAAAAAAAGAUUGACAAAAGAAAGCAGAGUUUGCAACAUUUUGCUUCCGGUCAGCCAAGUUAUGUAUUUAACUAAAGAUGUUGACUGGGCACCAACACGUAAUCAUGAGAAUAAUUCCAUUGGGAUGGCUACUGUUAAAAGAAUUAGUCGCUCUGUAAGAAGGCAGAUUGCUUGUAUAUGUUCAAAGAUACAGUUCCAAAAGAUGCAGUAACUGAUGUCAUGAAAGAUACCGCUGGAUAUACCCAAUGCAGAACACCUUUGAUAGACACAUCAACAAAUUGGUGAAUCAACAAACGAGCAGCAUCCAUCUACCUGCAACACAGCUCUUGCAUUAGAAAACUAGGCAUUGGUUCUUCGAAUAAAAGUAUUGAAAAAUGAAAAGACAUUUACUAGUUGAAACAGUGUCACAUGUUCAGUAUCUGUAUUAAAAACUUCUUUUCACCUCGUUUAAUACAAAUGUUUCUCUAGAAAAAAGAAUCGUGUGUAUUCUUAAAGUGAUAAAUAAAUAACGAUAAUGAAUCAGAUAGCCUAAUCAUAGUGAACGCUUCGUCAGAUUAGUGAACUAAAUGUUAAAGCAGUUGAAUUAGUAAAUUUUAAACUAGUUAACCCCAAAUACUUUUGAGGGAAUUUUUACCACAUAUUCUGGAUGUCCAAUAACAUUCACUUUUGGGAUGCAAAACUUACAUAACAGAUUCAUAAACAUUGUAUCUGUUACCGCAGCCAAACGGCAAACACACAACAAAUCUGUUUUGACAUUCCAGAAUCAAAACAACCUAAUUAAAGUUCAAAUUACAUAAUUAAUAUAAGCCACAAGUAAUACUUACCAUACAUGAAAAUGUUACUAAUUCAUCUGGGAACACGAUCAAUGAGAAAUAUAUUUUAUUUAAGGCACCAAUAAAUUAAAAAUGAAUUUAAACUAAAGGGACCCCGAUUCCUUAUGGGAAUUUACACGGGGAAAAAUUAAUUAGAACAAAGAUGGCCGAUUGCGGCGUUGCCGGAUUGUAAAAUCCCGACUUUCCGCAUUGUGAAAA